rnacentral:rRNA from 1 species
UACGAAGGGGGCUAGCGUUGCUCGGAAUGACUGGGCGUAAAGGGCGCGUAGGCGGAUGGCACAGUCAGAUGUGAAAUUCCCGGGCUUAACCUGGGGGCUGCAUUUGAUACGUGUUGUCUAGAGUGAGGAAGAGGGUUGUGGAAUUCCCAGUGUAGAGGUGAAAUUCGUAGAUAUUGGGAAGAACACCGGUGGCGAAGGCGGCAUCCUGGACCGGCAUUGACGCUGAGGCGCGAAAGCCAGGGGAGCAAACGGG